AACGAACACUGGCGGCGUGGAUAAGACAUGCAAGUCGAACGGGAUUUUUUCCUGUAGCAAUACAGGAAAAAGUCUAGUGGCGAACGGGUGCGUAACACGUGAGCAACCUGCCGUGAAGUGGGGGAUAGCUCGCCGAAAGGCGAAUUAAUACCGCAUGUGGCCAAGGAAGACAUCUUCCUGACGCCAAAGCCGGGGCAACCUGGCGCUUCUCGAGGGGCUCGCGGCCUAUCAGCUUGUUGGUGAGGGAACGGCUCACCAAGGCUCUGACGGGUAGCUGGUCUGAGAGGACGACCAGCCACACUGGAAAGGAGACACGGUCCAGACACCUACGGGUGGCAGCAGUCGAGAAUUUGUCACAAUGGGGGGAACCCUGAGCGAGCGACGCCGCGUGGAGGAUGAAGGUCUUCGGAUUGUAAACUCCUGUCAUUGGGGAACAAUGCGUGACGGUUAACUGCCGUCGCGUUGAUAGUACCCGAAGAGGAAGAGACGGCUAACUCUGUGCUAGCCGCCGCCGUAACAC
rnacentral:rRNA from 1 species